ensembl:snRNA U6 U6 spliceosomal RNA
GAGCUUGAUUUGACAACACAUUUACUAAAAUUAGAAUGCUACAGAGACAAUUACUAUAGCCUGUGUACAAAGACGACAUAAAUUCAUAAAGGCUUUCAUAUUUUU